GAGGCUUUGUACAAGAACAAGAGUGAAAGGAAAAACAAACCACGAUGGCUAAAUUCAUUUGUUCAUUUCUUCUCAUGAUUAUUUUUACUUCAGUGAUCCAAGAUGCCUAUGCCGGUGGAGAAGGUUCUCUUCGUUCUGAAUAAUGUGCGGGUGCAUGUGAUUAUCGUUGUUCAGCAACUAUGUACAAGAAGGCAUGUCUAACCUAUUGCAACAUUUGUUGUGCAAAAUGUUUAUGUAUUCCAUCCGGAACAUAUGGUAAUAAGGAAGAAUGUCCAUGAUACAAUAAUUGGCAAACUAAGAGAGGAACACCCAAGUGUCCCUAGUUUUUGUAUUGUUCAUGCAUAUACAAGUCUCUUUCAAACCAUUUUUGUGUUUUUUGAUUAUUAAUAAAAAUAAUAUGUGUAUGUUGAAGUUAA